UACGUAGGGUGCGAGCGUUAAUCGGAAUUACUGGGCGUAAAGGGCUUGUAGGUGGCCAACUAAGUCAGACGUGAAAUCCCUCGGCUUAACCGGGGAACUGCGUCUGAUACUGGAUGGCUUGAGUUCGGGAGAGGGAUGCGGAAUUCCAGGUGUAGCGGUGAAAUGCGUAGAUAUCUGGAGGAACACCGGUGGCGAAGGCGGCAUCCUGGACCGAUACUGACACUGAGGAGCGAAAGCUAGGGGAGCAAACGGG
rnacentral:rRNA from 1 species